UACGGAGGGUGCGAGCGUUGUCCGGAAUCACUGGGCGUAAAGGGCGCGUAGGUGGCCUGUGGAAGUCUGCGGUGAAAGCCCGGCGCUCAACGCCGGGUCGGCCGUGGAUACUCUCGGGCUUGAGCUUACUAGAGGCAGAUGGAAUUCCGGGUGUAGCGGUGGAAUGCGUAGAGAUCCGGAAGAACACCGGGUGGCGAAGGCGGUCUGCUGGGGUAAUGCUGACACUGAUGCGCGACAGCGGUGGGGAGCAAACAGG
rnacentral:rRNA from 1 species